UACGUAGGUGGCAAGCGUUGUCCGGAUUUAUUGGGUUUAAAGGGUGCGUAGGCGGCCGCUUAAGUCAGUUGUGAAAUAUCCCGGCUCAACCGGGAGGGUGCGAUUGAUACUGGGUGGCUCGAGUGACAGCGAGGUUGGCGGAAUUGACGGUGUAGCGGUGAAAUGCAUAGAUAUCGUCAAGAACACCGAUAGCGAAGGCAGCCAACUAGGGGUUAACUGACGCUGAGGCACGAAAGUGCGGGGAUCAAACAGG
rnacentral:rRNA from 1 species